AGCUCCAGUAGCGUAUAUUAAAGUUGUUGCAGUUAAAAAGCUCGUAGUUGGAUUUCUGCUGCCGAUGCGGACUUCCCGCCGCCGUCAGGUGAGUGUGUGAUGUCUCGCGUCCAGCAUCCUUCUAGAAAACGUUUCUACCCUUCAUUGGGCGGGAUUCGCGAUCUAGAUCUUUUACUUUGAAAAAAUUAGAGUGUUUAAAGCAGGCUGUCGCUAUGAAUACAUUAGCAUGGAAUAAUAAUUUAGGACUUUGGUUCUAUUUUGUUGGUUUCUAGGACUGAAGUAAUGAUUGAUAGGGAUAGUUGGGGGUGCUAGUAUUCAGCGGCCAGAGGUGAAAUUCUGUGAUUCGCUGAAGACUAACUUAUGCGAAAGCAUUCACCAAGGAUGUCUUCUUUA
rnacentral:rRNA from 1 species